rnacentral:tRNA from 1 species
CACUGAGAAGCUUAUAGGUGCAAGCAUUAGCCUUUUAAGCUAAAGAUUGGUGGAUCAUAACCACCCUCAAUGA